AAAUACACAAAAAUACACAUAAACUUAAACUCAACCUAUAAAAUAAUGCUUAAAAAUCUGAAAAGGGGAGUAAAAAAAUCUGGAGCACAGCCUUUGCAAAAACAGGACCUCCCUCCCAAAUCGAUUGAUCUUCUUUUUCUUCAUAGAAGAGGAGCCAAAAUUCAUGGCUGCCAGCCUCGUCUUCCUCAACUGAAGACCAAACCACCCCUGAACCUCUACGACGUAUAAUACAGGCCCCCCACCGUUGAUAUCAUCUUCUUCGAGACGCCAUCGUUCUUCAUCUUCCUCAUCAGCAAAAAUACACAAAAAAUGAGAAAUUGAACCAAAUACCUAAGGUUGGGUUGUUUUUUUUAUUGAAAAGACCUACACAAAAAGGGGUGGAGCUCCUUCUUUGAUUUGGAGUUGCUGCUACUCCUUCUUCCUCGAUUAAACUCCAUUACCACCGGAAAUGGCCGGAAACUGGCGACGGAGUUUCGUUUCAUCAAUGGAGUUUGUUUAAAGCUCGUGGAGAGCUCGUUUUGGUAGUUUACUGAGUUUCAAGUUCGUCGUUCCAUUUAGUGCAAUAUUUUUGUUGAGAUCGAGUCCCGUCAAUGCCCGUUCCUAGGUCACUAGCUCUGUUCGUUGGGUCCGUUCAGCGUCGUCGAGGCAGUUGGAAUCGGGGUUCUGUUCUCUCUUUUGCCGAUCCUUAUGUUCUUGUUUCAAGUGUUCAUGCCACUGGAGCUUUGAUAAGAUUAAUACAACAUUUUCAUUCUUUCCUUAUAAUAUCAACUUGUGAAUUUGAUUAGAGUAUUAUUACUAGAUGGAUUUAUUUCUGAUAAGAUUUGGUGCCGAAUUGGUUCAACAAUUGCAACGUUCUUAUUUUCUUCAUUUUAGUUUUCAGCUGUAAUUGUAUUUUUACCAACAGGUUCUCACACAAAUCUCAAUGAUUCCAAAUGAAAGUUCAACCAAAAUCAAUGAGUUAACGUUAAGGUUUAUCACAAUGCUUAAUUACUCACUUAAUGAUAAUGGAUCCAACAGUUUUGCCACUAUGUACCGUGCAGGUAGUGGUGGUAAAUGGGUGUGUUGAAUCGGAUUUGAGCGAGUUAAAUAUAGAUAACACAUAUUAUAUAAGCAUAAUAUGUUUCAAGUGCAAUUUAUAAUUUUCCUUUUGCUCAUAUUAUUUAGUGACAUAAGCUUAACUGGAACAAUAUAUACUCUUCUUCGUUAAAUUUAUUCAAAUUUAACUAUCAAGUUGUAAACUUAAGCUACUGUUCCACAAAAUAUGGCACUUAUCAUUUUAGGAAGAAAAUGUGCUUAAUGCACAUCAAGCAAUAUCGCUAAUAAUAUAUGACUCGGUGCAUUUUUUACCUUGUUCAUAUGUUACUUACAAUCCAGUAUAAAACUAAACAAAUUUAAAGAAAAUACUAUAAAUAGAAAUAUACUCUUUAUACUUAAAAUACACUAAUAAUAUAUGACUCUAUACAAAUUUAACAUUAAAAUGUGUGUUCCAUAACUAAAAAAGAAAAUACUUUUAUUUGGUUGAAAAAGAAAGUACUCUUUCUACAAUAUAAAAAAAAAGUACUCACUUUGUUAAAAUGAAAGAAAAUAUUUUUUUACAUCAUAAAAAGAAAAUACUUAUUUUGUUGAAAUGAAAAAAAAAUAUUCUUAAUAAUAUUUCUAUUGAAUUGGGUGUGGUGGGUGAGGAUCUGGAUGAUAGGGGUAGGCGUGGGGUAGGGUGGAAGUUGGGGGAUAUAGGAGGCGGGUUGGUGGGGAUGAAAAAUAGGGUGGGAAAGAUUUACAAAGAGUUUUAAAAAAUAUUUUUCUUUAUCCUAAUAAGAAAAUAUUUACCAAAACAUGAUUUAAGCCAACCAUACAUGAAUUUUUAUUAUCAAAAUCAUAUAAUUAUAAUUGUUUCACAAAAAGAUCAUAAUACUUUUACUAACUCAUAAAAAUUACAGUGAUCGAAAAAUAUUCGCUAGUAUUUUCUUAUUUAUAGAUUUUUAUUUUCUUAUUUUUUGCCUAAUAAUAAUAAUCCAAUUAAAAUUGGAAUGAUUCAACCCGACCUAGCCCACCCUGAUCCAAUACUCAUAUAUAUAUAAAUUAAAAGUCCGAUCAUACCUAUUUAGUAAAAGUGAAUUCUUUCCUCAUAAAAAAUUCAAUUCGGAAUACAUGAGAUUCUUAUAAACAAAAAUAAAGAAUUAAAAGGUAUAAUUUGAGAGAAGUUGAAAUAAAAGUACUACAAAAUUUGAAUACAAAUCUCAAAAAUUAAAAUAAACAAUAAAAGUAUCAUAUUUUGAAGAAUUUAUUAUUCAUUUUAGUAUUAUUUUAAUUUAUAUAUAUGAGUAUUGAGUCGGGUGGGCCAGGUCGGGUUGAGUCAUUCCUAUUUUAAUUUAAUUAUUAUUAAUUAGAUUAAAAAUAAAAAAAUAAAAAUCUACAAAAUAAGAAAAUACUAUUGAAAAUUUAUAUUUUUCGAUCACUGUAAUUUUUGUGAGUUAGUAAAAGUUUUAUAAUUUUUGUGAGAGAAAAUAUAAUUUGGUAAUAAAAAAAGUUUAUAGUUAUAUGAUUUUUGUAUGAAAAGAUAAAUUUAUAUGACUUUAGUGAAAAAAUAGGUCAUAUUUAUAUAAUUUUUGUGUGAAAAAAUAAAGUUAUAUGACUUUAAAGAAAAAAAAUUCUUGUUAUAUGACUUUUUAAUGUGAAAAUAAAUUUAUAUAAUUUUAAUGAAAAAAUAUGAUAGUAAUAUAACCAUUUGUGAAAUUAACCCAAAUAGAUGCAUCGGAGGGGUAGAUAAUAUCCUCUGUAGUAAUUGAGUUUUGUUCUAUACUUUUACUAUUACAUUCUAAAAUGAUUUUAGGGAAUGAAGUUCCUAGAAACUUAAUUAGACAUAUAUAUAGUGAUGGUGAUGAGAAAUUGUUGGUGAAAUUACAAGAAAUUACAGUUGAAAAACAAAAUAAAAAAAUAACUAGAUAUUUCUUAGGCUGAGGCGCGAAUAUCUUACUUUCUUUAAGGAAAUUUAAGCUUAUUGCGAUAGCAUCUUCACCGGUCCAGCAAUAAUAUUCUUUAACUUUUUCCCUCCAGGA
rnacentral:lncRNA from 1 species